rnacentral:rRNA from 1 species
UACGUAGGGUGCGAGCGGUAAUCGGAAUUACUGGGCGUAAAGCGUGCGCAGGCGGUUCGCCAAGUCAGGUGUGAAAUCCCCGGGCUUAACCUGGGAAUUGCGCUUGAAACUAGCGGGCUUGAGUGUGGCAGAGGGGGGUGGAAUUCCACGUGUAGCAGUGAAAUGCGUAGAGAUGUGGAGGAACACCGAUGGCGAAGGCAGCCCCCUGGGUCAACACUGACGCUCAUGCACGAAAGCGUGGGGAGCAAACAGG